ACGCUGGCGGCACGCCUAACACAUGCAAGUCGAACGAAGUAGCAAUACUUAGUGGCAGACGGGUGAGUAACAUGUAGGUAUCUGCCCUUUGGCCUGGAAUAACACGAGGAAACUUGUGCUAAUACCGGAUAAGUCUUUACGGAGAAAGCUUUAUGCACCAUUGGAUGAGCCUGCACUUGAUUAGUUUGUUGGUGGGGUAAUGGCCUACCAAGACUGUGAUCAAUAGCUGAUUUGAGAGGAUGAUCAGCCACAUUGGGACUGAGACACGGCCCAAACUCCUACGGGAGGCAGCAGUGGGGAAUCUUGCACAAUGGAGGAAACUCUGAUGCAGCGAUGCCGCGUGAGUGAAGAAGGCCUUUGGGUUGUAAAGCUCUUUCGUCGGGGAAGAAAAUGACUGUACCCGAAUAAGAAGGUCCGGCUAACUUCGUGCCAGCAGCCGCGGUAAUACGAAGGGACCUAGCGUAGUUCGGAAUUACUGGGCUUAAAGAGUUCGUAGGUGGUUGAAAAAGUUAGUGGUGAAAUCCCAGAGCUUAACUCUGGAACUGCCAUUAAAACUUUUCAGCUAGAGUAUGAUAGAGGAAAGCAGAAUUUCUAGUGUAGAGGUGAAAUUCGUAGAUAUUAGAAAGAAUACCAAUUGCGAAGGCAGCUUUCUGGAUCAUUACUGACACUGAGGAACGAAAGCAUGGGUAGCGAAGAGGAUUAGAUACCCUCGUAGUCCAUGCCGUAAACGAUGUGUGUUAGACGUUGGAAAUUUAUUUUCAGUGUCGCAGGGAAACCGAUAAACACACCGCCUGGGGAGUACGACCG
rnacentral:rRNA from 1 species